UGAAAAUGGGUAUGAAGAAGAAAGUUUGAAGCGUAAAAAGUUUCAGAGAAAAUAGGUUAUGAAUAUUUAUAAGGGAAGAUGGUAAAAACGUUUGAGUUUUUGAUGAUAAUCAUGGGACACGUGGCUGAAUCACAACGGUGAUGAUGAAGAUGUGGAAGUUGAAAAAGGCCAUGAUGUUAGGUUUAGGAAAUGAUGGGGGUAUGGUCUAAA
rnacentral:lncRNA from 1 species